UUGGUGUUCCCUUCUUGUUGAGAUUAUCCGAGUAUCUAGUUGUGAUGAUUCAGAUCUUCAUGUUUGUAUCCUUUAUGCUCGUUUGUCAGCAAGAUCAUGUACAUAUUCAUGCAUAAAAACAUAGAAUCAAAUAUUUCAUUGUGCAUUUUAUUGCAUUGACCUUUUUCUGAUCUCCUGCUUUGGUGAUAUUAUUUCCCCCGUGUAGAU
rnacentral:lncRNA from 1 species